CUCAAAACCUCGACAAAACACACUUCGCCUUGUGCAAAAGCUCGACAGUUCUCCCUCUCUGAGAAUUAAAAAAUGUGAGCUCGCUGAUCUCUCUGAGAAACCAUGGCCUCCAUUCAUGCCGAAAAAUAAUCUACUGGCUGUCACUUUCCAGUAAUCUCUCUCCCUCUCGCCAAAGUCUAUAAGUUGACCACCGUGGGUGAGCGUUUUCUUUCACCCACCUAAAAAAGACGCUCGCUUUUUCUGUUCGUUUCUUGGGAAAAUUCUACACACUCUGUUUUUCUGAACCCGCCAGCUGAAUUCACAAAUUCCAGUCGAAAAUGGCGCAGUUUCAGAACGACGAGCUGGAGUACGUCGUUGACGACUACUUCGACAUCGCCGACUUCGAAGACACCGACGCUUUUGCCGGUAACCAGCUCCGGGAAGCCACGGCGCCGACUCGGACUUCGCUGAGAGCAAGGCGAAGACUGAUACUUCGGCAACUGAGUUUCCACAGUGACUGAGAGUUCUCCAGGUGCAAGGCAAAUGGAUCAAGGUUUGUUCCCUUUCACUAAUUUCCUUUCAGCUUCUGUUUAAUUUAGAUCAUCAGCUUAAUUUCAAGGAUUAAUUACUCAAAAUUUGAUGAAAUCCUAAUUGCGGGUGUACUUUAUUUCGUAAUGUUUAUCCAAUCUUUGUGUGGUGCAUAUAUAUUUUAUUUUUUAAUUUUAUUUCUCACUUCUCCUUUGUAAUUUUGCUAAAUAAUGAAAAUUAGUGAAAAUUUUUCUAACCGUUAAAUUGGAUCCCUCAAAAUCAUCAAGUUUUUUCUAAAGUCCAAUUAUAUCAAAUCACAAAUUUGAAGCAGUUUCCCUUUUGCCAAUUUAUGAUGCUAAUUUGAUUUUUGUAGAGAACUAAACUUAAUUUCACAAGUUUUAUAGAAAGGAGUAAUUUAUUAGUGUCGGACUUGAGUUCCUUUUGCACAAUGUGGUUAGAUCAGGUUGUAUUUACAUUGACCAUCUCUGCUUUAUUAUGAGCUUGCAUCUGUUGUGCUGCAAAUGAACAUUAGCAUACCACAACCACAAAAAUUAUGCUUUCGCAAUUGAUAUAUAGAUCUUUGUACAAAAUUCUCAUAUUGAUGGUUCAUAGAUCUCUUUGUAAUGACCAUAUAUUAACCAUGUGUUCUGGAGAAGUUUGUCAAGGGCCGAUGGGACAAGGAGGAUUGCAUUUCAUAUUGGCAGAAAUACAAGGCCUCCCUCUCUGUAUAAUGCCAUCAAAUUCUCCACGAGGUGCAUCCAGACAUCAGUUUGGUAAAGGUGAAGAUUUGCCUAAUCAUAUGAGAAAAUAAGGAUUUGAACAUGUUAAUUAGCUAAGAAUUAGUUUACAUUAGAGAAUAUGUAUGAUUUUGGAAUGUGUUGGUGUACCUAGGGACAAUUAUAUCUGUGAACAUAUGUUUGGUUAGAAAGUCUACCCAUAAAGAAGAACAAAUCUAAGGGUAGUGUGAAACUGAAAAGCAGCCAAGCUCAAAAUUUGAUUUCCUAAAGAGCAGGAUUGGCCCUUUGUUUUAAAAUUUUCAUACUUUACUUCUCAUUCUUAUGUACCCUUAUGUAUCAGUAACAUGUAUUCGACUUUAAAACUUUAUCCGAAAUCAUUUGGUGGGUGUUUGGAAAUUUAGAAUUAGAU